AAAAGGGGAGCUGUCGUAAAGAUGGCUGAGAACAGACUGUUUUGUCUGGACCCAUAACCUGAUUUGGAUAAUGCCAACGUAGGGAAUAUAUU
rnacentral:ncRNA from 1 species